AUACGUAGGUGACAAGCGUUAUCCGGAUUUACUGGGCGUAAAGGGCGUGUAGGCGGUCUUGCAAGUCAGAAGUGAAAUUCCUGAGCUCAACUCGGGCGCUGCUUCUGAAACUGCAGGACUUGAGUGCUGGAGGGGAUAGCGGAAUUCCUAGUGGAGCGGUAAAAUGCGCAGAUAUUAGGAAGAACACCGGUGGCGAAGGCGGCUAUCUGGACAGUAACUGACGCUUAGGCGCGAAAUCGUGGGGAGCAAACAGAAUUAGAUACCCUGGUAGUCCACGCCGUAAACGAUGAGCACUAGUUGUUGGGUCCGAACGGAUUCAGUGACGCAGUUAACGCAAUAAGUGCUCCGCCUGGGGAGUACGCUCGCAAGAGUAAAACUCAAAGGAAUUGACGGGG
rnacentral:rRNA from 1 species